rnacentral:tRNA from 1 species
GCAUCAUUGGUCUAGUGGUAGAAUUCGUCGUUGCCAUCGACGAGGCCCGUGUUCGAUUCACGGAU